rnacentral:snoRNA from 1 species
AUGACCUUACUUGAACGGGAUUUGUUCUAUAUGUCGUACGUCCCUAUCCUUUAGUUAAAAAAAAAAGAUAACCAUUUUAU